rnacentral:rRNA from 1 species
UACGUAGGGACCUAGCGUUGUCCGGAAUUAUUGGGCGUAAAGAGCGUGUAGGCGGUCCGGUAAGUCAGCUGUGAAAGUCAAGGGCUCAACCCUUGAAUGCCGGUUGAUACUGUCGGGCUAGAGUCCGGAAGAGGCGAGUGGAAUUCCCGGUGUAGCGGUGAAAUGCGCAGAUAUCGGGAGGAACACCAAUGGCGAAGGCAGCUCGCUGGGACGGUACUGACGCUGAGACGCGAAAGCGUGGGGAGCAAACAGG